AUUUUGCAUUUGGAAGUUACUAUGACAGGAAUAGUGCAGCAUGUGGGGAGUCAGUCUCUAGGCAGCAAGUUGGGUUCAGCCACUGUGGAUUUCUCUGGUCUUAGGGAGGACAGCUGGAUUUCCCAUUACUAGUGAUUUGAGAGCAGCCAGGGAUGAGCCUAGGCCUUGUGAGAACUCUGUUCUCUCCCUGGAAUGGAUGAAGGCAUCAUAGGGAACAUCAGAAGAGGAUGACCAUGGCCAGAGUUGGUUCAGGAAGUAGGCUUCCCGAUUAUUCUACAAACGCUAUGAAAUCCUUGUUCUUCGUUGCACAAUUAGCUGUGAAACAGACAGAGGUUACCUACAAUAAGGUGACAACAUUGUGGUUCUGAAGAGUUAAGCGACUUGCUGAUGGUGAUGUUACAGGACCCCAGCA
rnacentral:lncRNA from 1 species